rnacentral:rRNA from 1 species
ACGCUCGACACCUACGUGAGGCAGCAGUGGGGAAUAUUGCACAAUGGGGGAAACCCUGAUGCAGCGACGCCGCGUGAGCGAAGAAGUAUUUCGGUAUGUAAAGCUCUAUCAGCAGGGAAGAAAAUGACGGUACCUGACUAAGAAGCCCCGGCUAACUACGUACACGCAGCCGCGGUAAUCUGAGCGGGCUGGCAAGGC